rnacentral:rRNA from 1 species
AUAUAGGUCAAGCUACAAAGGGCGCAUGGUGAAUGCCUUGGCAUCAGGAGCCGAUGAAGGACGUGAUAAGCUGCGAUAAGCUUCGGGUAGGCGCACAUAGCCAGUGAUCCGAAGAUUUCCGAAUGAGGGAACUCACAUGGGAAACCCCAUGUAUCCUGUAAUGAAUAAAUAGUUGCAGGAAGGUAAACCUAGGGAACUGAAACAUCUAAGUACCUAGAGGAAGAGAAAGAAAAAUCGAUUUUCUUAGUAGCGGCGAGCGAAAGGGAAAGAGCCCAAACCAGAGAUUUAUCUCUGGGGUUGCGGACAGAACAUUAACGAGAAGUUAUUACUAAUUGAAGACAACUGGAAAGUUGAGCCAUAGAGUGUAAUAGCCACGUAAGUGAAAGUGAUAAUAAUCAAGUUCUGAUCCAGAGUACCACGAGACACGUGAAACCUUGUGGGAAGCAGG